GAUGAACGCUGGCGGCGUGCCUAAUACAUGCAAGUCGAGCGAACAGACGAGGAGCUUGCUCCUCUGACGUUAGCGGCGGACGGGUGAGUAACACGUGGAUAACCUACCUAUAAGACUGGGAUAACUUCGGGAAACCGGAGCUAAUUCCGGAUAAUAUAUUGAACCGCAUGGUUCAAUAGUGAAAGACGGUUUUGCUGUCACUUAUAGAUGGAUCCGCGCCGCAUUAGCUAGUUGGUAAGGUAACGGCUUACCAAGGCAACGAUGCGUAGCCGACCUGAGAGGGUGAUCGGCCACACUGGAACUGAGACACGGUCCAGACUCCUACGGGAGGCAGCAGUAGGGAAUCUUCCGCAAAGGGCGAAAGCCUGACGGAGCAACGCCGCGUGAGUGAUGAAGGUCUUCGGAUCGUAAAACUCUGUUAUUAGGGAAGAACAAAUGUGUAAGUAACUAUGCACGUCUUGACGGUACCUAAUCAGAAAGCCACGGCUAACUACGUG
rnacentral:rRNA from 1 species